UUGCCCUUAGGACCCUACUUUGAAUCGAAAUAAAACUGGUGUCCCUUUGUCCCUGAGGUGAUCGCCGACUUUAGGAUCUGUUCAGUUUCACUAGAAGAAUCUACAGCCGAAAUCUGGACGCUGUAGCUCCAAUAGGUCCAGAGAUAGAGCUGAUUUACGUUGAAAUUUCUGUCACGGAGCGGCCGAAUGGGGGCUCUUCUGGCUUCCCGGGAGGGAGGCACGCGCGCCCCGCCGUUUGAAGGGUCUGGAAAGCCAUGCGUCAUAUAUCGGUGUCAGAUGGCAGUUGUGGUGUGUGGUCUGGUGGCUCAGGAAGUUGCGUGCUGGAUCUCUGCACAUUUCGGCUCUCCGUGUCGUAGGUUCGACUCUUGACUUUUGGUGGUAUUUUUUCCUUUUUUUAUUUUUUACCCAAAGGGUUGGAAACUAUCAGGGAAUGUUUGGCCUAUGAAUAUAAACUGCCUUGCAAAGCCCGGUCGCUGUGGGAUGAAUAGUUUUCGAGAAAUCAAAGUUGUAAAAAUUUCGAACUACGACCCUACUUUGAAACGAUAUAAAACUGGUUUCCCGAUUAGUGAGGUGAUCGCCCACUUCAGGAUCUGUUCAGUUUUACUAGAGUAAUCUACAGGCGAAGUCGGGGCGC